rnacentral:rRNA from 1 species
CACGGAGUUAGCCGGUGCUUCUUCUGCGAGUAACGUCAAUGCACAGUGCUAUUAACACUGAACCCUUCCUCCUCGCCGAAAGUGCUUUACAACCCUAAGGCCUUCUUCACACACGCGGCAUGGCUGCAUCAGGCUUGCGCCCAUUGUGCAAUAUUCCCCACUGCUGCCUCCCGUAGGAGUCUGGACCGUGUCUCAGUUCCAGUGUGGCUGGUCAUCCUCUCAGACCAGCUAGGGAUCGUCGCCUAGGUGAGCCAUUACCUCACCUACUAGCUAAUCCCAUCUGGGCACAUCCGAUGGCGUGAGGCCCGAAGGUCCCCCACUUUGCUCUUGCGAGGUCAUGCGGUAUUAGCUACCGUUUCCAGUAGUUAUCCCCCUCAUCAGGCAGUUUCCCAGACAUUACUCACCCGUCCGCCGCUCGCCGGCAAGUGCAAGCUACUUCCCGCUGCCGCUCGACUUGCAUGUGUACGGCUGCCGCC